rnacentral:snRNA from 1 species
AUACUUAACUGGCAGGGGAGACACCUUGAUCAGAAGGAGGUUUUCCCCGGGUGAGGCUCAGCCAUUGCACUCCAGCUGUGCUGACCCCUGCAAUUUCCCCAAAUGCGGGAAACCUGACUGCAUAAUUUGUGGUAGUGGGGGUCUAUGUGCACACUUUCCCCUA